rnacentral:rRNA from 1 species
GCGCAGCAGUCGAGAAACCUCCGCAAUGCGGGAAACCGCGACGGGGGGACCCCGAGUGCCGUGGCAACGCCACGGCUUUUCCGGAGUGUAAAAAGCUCCGGGAAUAAGGGCUGGGCAAGGCCGGUGGCAGCCGCCGCGGUAAUACCGGCGGCCCGAGUGGUGGCCGCUAUUAUUGGGCCUAAAGCGUCCGUAGCCGGGCCCGUAAGUCCCUGGCGAAAUCCCACGGCUCAACCGUGGGGCUUGCUGGGGAUACUGCGGGUCUUGGGACCGGGAGAGGCGGGGGGUACCCCUGGGGGUAGGGGUGAAAUCCUAUAAUCCCAGGGGGACCGCCAGUGGCGAAGGCGCCCCGCUGGAACGGGUCCGACGGUGAGGGACGAAGGCCAGGGGAGC